GGUAAGGUUGUUGACAGAAGAUAGAGAGCACAGAUGAUGAUAUGCACAUAUACAUGGAACAGGAAUUUAAGCAAUUGCAUCUCACUCCUUUGUGCUCUCUAAGCUUCUGUCAUCCACCUCC
rnacentral:pre_miRNA from 1 species